GCAAUAUGGUAGCCAAGAGCUGUCUGGAAUGGUGGCCCAGAUGUCUUGCUGUAUUCAAAUAUGACUGUAAGUCAGUCAUCUUACUCCAUAAACAGUGGACAGCCCAGGGCCUGCUGAGCAAUCCGGCAUGGCAGUAGGCUGCACACCAGGAUCUCCCCUUGAGCAGGCCUGCCUCUCAAGGUUACCCCUCGAGGCUGAGAUCUCUCUUGCAACAACAAGUUCUUGGUGAUUCAUAGCAUGCUAGCUUUAAAAUCUUAGCUAAGUAAUAUAAAGGAUUGAUUGUGCACAUAAAAUCCUUUAGAUGUAAACAGUUGACCAAGUCUGGGAGUGAGUGUGGAUGCAGCUGCACCCAAACUCUCCUCUGAGAAGGGAUUUAGAAUGCAAGGAGGUCCUUUCUGAACCUCAGGUCUCAACGGGAGGGUCUCCCUGACGGUUUUGUCUGACCCUGUUCCCUAUGCAGUAAAUAAUCAAGUGUACCUUGCCAUGGAAUCUUGUUAAGCCGCUGUCGCAGUUACUGUUGAACUUUGUUAACUCACUGUUUUGUAUCAAUAAGGUGUAUUGUUGCUUCUCUCUUCCGAGUGAAGUGCAUGACCCCAUCCAUGACACAUGCCCUUUUCUCCCCUCCAUUUCAGUACUCAGGUAGCAUAGGAACCAUUAACAUCUGAAAAAGGGGAAGAAACAUUAGAAAGUUUUUGUACAUUUGUUUUAUCUGUAUUAUUGGUAAUGAGCCAUAUAAGUUGGACAAUUUGGGUUAUGAAUGUAUAUUAAGAUUUUAAGAAAACUAACAAUGAAAUCUUAUCUUUGUGUAGAAGGUGUGUUUCUUCAGGCCAAAUAAAUUGCAUGCAAUAUUGGGUCUAGUAUCCUUGUCCUUGGAGACUGUCUGUUAAAUCUGAAUGCAGGAUUUUUUACCUCAAGGAUGGUGCAGGUUGGAAGUGGAAUUAUUAAUAUAUACAAUGAAAUAACACAUUUAUAAUCUUCUUUAUUAAACUGAAAAGGCUGUGUUCAUAUAUAUAUUAAUUUAUAUCUGUUAUUUUUAAAGCCUCAGUCUUCUGAAAGCGCAGGUAUGCUACAGCUGCUUCCCACUGGGUUAUGCUCCCUCUUUCUUCUUAGGCCUGUGAAAGGUAUUGCUACAAAGAAAGACACAUUCAGUUGUUUAAUCCACUGCACAAUCCUACCAAUCUAAACUUCUUUCCUUUUUUCCAAACACCUGAAAAGAGGGCUCAUACAACAGAUUUUAAAGAGUUUUGCAAGGUUUCAAGGCCAAAGCCAAUUAAAAACUUAAAGGAAGAAGGUAACACAAACAAGAUUGUAAAUUAAGAUGAUCCGAGUCUUUGGCAGACAUGGGAUCUGGAGAAAGAAGACAGAAGCCGUAAGGCAUUACUUUUCAUCUCCUGGCUCUGAAAAUGGCAAUGAGCCAAAGCUUGAGAUGCUCUAAACUGCUGUGAUUUUAAUAACUCUUCCAUAUAGCCAAAGGCCAAGGAUCUGGUCCAGAGAUCGUGCCUGCUAUCGUGUCUGCUCAUUUGUGUUUAAAAUCUCAUUAGCAUGAUGGAAUUGAGAAUACAUGGUAGCUCAGUUCAUAGUGUCCUAUGCUUUUUGUAAUGAGGGUUUUUUAGCCUAUAUGUAGUAUAUAACUCAUUAACGGGGGGGGGAAAAGGACCCUGAAGCUGUACAAUGAGGUUAUUUUCUAAGGCCUUUAUUAAAACUGAGGGGAUGA